CAUUUUGGUCCUUGACGCGUUAUUGUUUAUAACCUAGUUACACAUGCAAGUCUCCGCACGCCAGUGAGAAGCCCAAUAGACUCAUACGAGUUAGGGAGAGGGCAUCAGGCACGCCAUAGCAGCCAAUUACGCCACGCAGACGCCACACCCAUACGGGCCUCAGCAGUGAACAAUAUUAAAUUAUAAGUGAAAACUUGAUUUAGUUAGGGUAAAAACAGCCGGUAAAUCUCGUGCCAGCCACCGCGGUUAUACGAGAGGCCAAAAACAAUAUACAGCCGGCGUAAAGGGUGACCAAAGUAAUACCCAUGCAUUAAGGGGAAAUUAAUUCUAAGCUGUGAAACCCACAAGAAACAAGAACCCCAUUCACCCUUAAUAAAAAGAUAGCUUAAACUCACGAAAGCUGAGACACAAACUGGGAUUAGAUACCCCACUAUGCUCAGCCAUAAACUUAAGCAGCCAAAAAUAUUAAGCUGCUCGCCAGGGGACUACAGGCAAAAGCCUGAAACCCAAAGGACUUGGCGGUGCCCAACACCAAACUAGAGGAGCCUGUCCCAUAAUCGAUAAUCCACGAUAAACCUUACCCCCAUUUGACAGUCCAGCCUAUAUACCGCCGUCUCCAGCUUACCCUGUGAGAGCAUAGUAGUAAGCACAGUAGUAUACACAAACACGCCAGGUCAAGGUGUAGCAUAUGUGGGGGAGGAGAUGGGCUACAUUUCUCAAACCGACAAACACGAAAGGCCACAUGAAAACCGAGCCAGAAGGUGGAUUUAGCAGUAAAAUAGAUAAGACCCUCUACUUGAAGAAAGCUCUAGGGCACGCACACACCGCCCGUCACCCUCCUCAGAGCACUCUAAACACUAACCUAUACAAACAGCGCAACACAGAUGAGGUA
rnacentral:rRNA from 1 species